UACGGGGGGAGCAAGCGUUGUUCGGAUUUACUGGGCGUAAAGGGCGCGUAGGCGGCCACCGCAAGUCAAUUGUGAAAUCUCCGGGCUUAACUCGGAAAGGUCAACUGAUACUGCGGGGCUAGAGUGCGGAAGGGGCAACUGGAAUCCUCGGUGUAGCGGUGAAAUGCGUAGAUAUCGAGAGGAACACCUGAGGUGAAGACGGGUUGCUGGGCCGACACUGACGCUGAGUGCGCGAAAGCCAGGGGAGCAAACGGG
rnacentral:rRNA from 1 species